rnacentral:rRNA from 1 species
UACGUAGGGGGCAAGCGUUGUCCGGAAUCAUUGGGCGUAAAGAGCGUGUAGGCGGUUCGGUAAGUCGGCUGUGAAAGUCCAGGGCUCAACCCUGGGAUGCCGGUCGAUACUGCCGGACUAGAGUUCGGAAGAGGCGAGUGGAAUUCCCGGUGUAGCGGUGAAAUGCGCAGAUAUCGGGAGGAACACCUAUGGCGAAGGCAGCUCGCUGGGACGUUACUGACGCUGGAGACGGCGGAAAGCGUGGGGAGCAAACAGG